rnacentral:rRNA from 14 species
UGAAACAUCUAAGUACCCUUAGGAAAAGAAAUCAACAGAGAUUCCCCUAGUAGCGGCGAGCGAACGGGGAGCAGCCGAGUAAUUAUGAAGUAGUGGAAUGAGUUGGAAAGCUCAGCGAUACAGGGUGAUAGCCCCGUACACAAAGCGUCAUUAUUGCCAUAUUAAGUAGGUCGGGACACGUGUUAUCUUGACUGAAGAUGGGGGGACCAUCCUCCAAGGCUAAAUACUCCUGACUGACCGAUAGUGAACCAGUACCGUGAGGGAAAGGCGAAAAGAACCCCGGGAGGGGAGUGAAAUAGAUCCUGAAACCGUGUGCAUACAAACAGUCGGAGCGGACUUGUUCCGUGACGGCGUA